UUCUCUUACGCAAAAAAUAUAGAGUUAUUUGGUUCUUCUUGGGUUCAUUUAUAUAUACAUACAACUAUAUUUAAUCUAAAAGCUUUGGAAUUAGUAUUACCAUCAUUCCAAUAUUGGUGAGUGAUGAUGGUUUCCUUUGUGAUAAAAUAUAAUUUACAAGCAAAAGCAUCUGGAACGAGAUCAUAUCUAUAAUCAAAUAAAUUGGAAAACAAGGCGAUUUGUAAUCAUUCCAUGGCUUCCACCAAAACUUCAGCCAGCUUGGGAUGCCCUACUUGGAAUCUGUGUCGUAAUCUUGAUCCCAAAAAACCAUUCAAAUUAGCCUUGAGUAGAAUAUCAGGCCUAAAUCUGCAGAAAGAAUUGAAUUUGAUUGUUAAAUUUCGAUAUUUUGAUAAAGAAUUACGUAAUAAAAUCCUAAAUAUAUUAGCUUAAAAUUGUUUUUGUAAGAAGAUUAAAUUUGUAAUUUGUUUAAGUUAAUAUAUUUGAUAAUUAUUUUGUUGAAUGUCAAUGAAGUAAAAAAAUUUACAGAUUUUACUAGUAGAUUUGUGAUACUAUCAAAUGUUAUUAUUAUUAUUAUUAUUAUUAUUGUCCUACAACUUACAAACAUAUAGUAUAUCUAAAUUCGCUUAUAAUAUCUUCUUUACUUUAUAGUAUGCAAAAUAAUAAUAUGGAUUACACCAAUAUAAAGUAAUCAUGUUUGAUUAUGAACAUGGGGUGUAUCAAAUUGUUUCUUUUAAUUGAUCACUUCAUUUUAUUAAAGAUAACAUAAAAGAAAUAUAGUUUAUCUAUGUAGGGCCAUACACACGAUGAAGCAAAUAAUCAAGAGUUUCAUAAGUAAUAAUUUCUACCAAAAUAAAAGAUUAUCACAGUAAUCAUUUCCACAUGCACCAUGAAAAGCGAAAUAAAAAAGUUUGUUUAACCAUCAUCAAUAGUAUAUAUUUAACAUUAACAAGCAUGAAGUGUAAUUGUAAAUUACAUUAUAUUUUUAAAGAGAAGAUAUAAAUAUAAACUCUAAAAUUAAUAUUAUUGAAAACUACAAUCUCAAAUUUUUUAAAAAAAUUAGUUCUCAUGCACAAUAAAACAAACACUAAAUAAAUCUGGGUUAUAAAAACUAAAAAUAAAAUUUAAAUAAAUAGAAUAUAUUUUAGUUUGAUCUUUUCUAUACUUUAAUAGUAAAAUUUAAAUAAAAAAAUUAUUAUUAAAUAAAAAUUUGAAACGGAUUGAAACUACUACAAUCCGAGACGCAAUUCAUAAAUUGUUGGGUUUGAACACUACAAAAUAAUUUGUUAAAGUCUAAUUAUUAGGGUACUAUUAAAAUUAUAAGGAAUUGUAAUUCUCUAGACGUAUUUGGUUGACAUAAGGUAAUUACAUUUUAAUUCUCUAUAUCAGGUUUGAUAGCACAAAUUGUAAUUACAUGGUUAUAUAUAUUUAAUUUUUUAAAACUAUCAAUUAUUAUAAAAAUAUCAAUAAUACCUGAGGAAAAUUUUCUAAGCAAGUAAAAAAAUUAAAAUAAAAAUCAUCAUAUACAAUAUGUUAGUCUAAGAGUGUAACACCUUACACCUGACCCGAUCGCCAAAUUCGAGAUGCGAGAUGUCACAUUCAUUGCUGGAGCAACUACAACUUCAUUUGCAUACCAAAUAAACAAAUUACGUAAGUCAUUAGGCUCAAUAUUUAAGUAUAAUUUGUUAUUUAAUCAAGUCCAUAUUAUAAAUGAGCUUAUGAGAGCUCUAAUGAAAUAUCAAUGUUAAUUGGAGGAUUAAAAUGUAAAACUUUCAAAAUACCAUGUUUACAUCGCAAUCAUGAAGGAAUCAUGUCACGGAAUUGAAGGUAGAAGCUCGACGUCACGACUUCGAUUAAGGGGAGCCACGACCUUGAAGAUAGAGGGCUAACGUCACAACUUCAGCAGGGGACGUCGUGACUUGGAGAAAAAGGGUAUGCAAUGUCACUUCCUGAAGGAAAAAGGUAUGAAAUGUCACGACCUAAAUAGGAGAGAAUUGCGACCAUGGAGUCAGAAGCUCGGUGUCGCAACAUCAAAAGGGUAGUGUCGCGACUUCGAAAAUAGUUUCUCCUAUAUUUACAUCAUUCAACUCCAAACCUGCUAAACAUCAUUACACAAAUUGUCAAAGUGACCAAGAACUUAUCACUUAACAAUCUUAGGCUUUAAGUCAAGUGCCAAUUUGUCAUUCACAACAUAUCAACAUUUAACUAUACAUAGUCAAAAACUCAUACACAUAUAUGUUUACUUGGCAAGCAUAAAGGACUCAAUUAUAAGCAUGACAUAAUCUAAUAGAAAAUUAAACAUUAACUCACUAGAUGAUUUCAUAUAUAUAUCAUUAUGCUUAUAUAGUGAUAUCUCAAUGUUUUUGUUUCCUACCACUUGAACCAAAACAUUCAAAACGAAAUCAAAACCUACUUAUGACUUUAGGUACGUGCCACUAAUUAUGACCACGAUAAAACUAGUACAAAAUUUACUAAGUCGAGAGUUGAGUCCUCGAUGCUGUUGCAGUCCCUGAAUCCUCAAGAUCUAACGGAACCUACGCGCAGAAUAAAUAAAAUGUAUGCUGAGCGAUAGGGCUCAUUGGUACUUUCAUGGUUCAAAUCAAUAAUAAAAUAAUAUAACAUGUCAAGAAUACAAUCAAAACAUUAUUAGUUUUCAACAAUUUCAAUUUUUCAUUCAUGUCUCAUACACCAAAAUCCAUGCCCUAUCUCAUUUGGCAACCACUUAUUAAUAUAUCAUACUAUGUUUUCUAUCAUCAUAUCACAUUUACUUAUAUUUCAUAGCAUAUCACUUAUUCAUUUCAUUUUCUCUUUUCAUUUUCAAAUUUAUCUAUUCAUUUCAUAUCUAUCGGUCCUUAGGCUCGUUUAAACCGGGUUGCAUGAUCUUUCACAUGCUACCACUUGUCACAUUGAUGCAAAUUUCACCAUUAGCUAUUAGCUUCACAUAUCAUAUGCCAAUAGGCAAAGAUUAUGUUUUAUUAUUCCUUUUAACUAAACACAUACUCAAAAUGGAUACGCGGAUCAUCCUACCAUCACACCAAUAUGUCUAGCACCUAGUGCCUCAUUGGAAUGUUCGAAGUAUAAAUUGCACUCCAUGCCUCAUCGGUAUAAACCGAAUUAAAUCUCAUACACUAAUCAUAUGGCAAGUCAAAUGUACCUGACUCUACCUAAGAUAGUUAAUAAAUGUCGCAUAAUAUUCGAAUGAUGUGCAAGUGUACACACAAUUGUCCAAGGAAAAAUUUGUGAAAUAAAGACAUAGCAAAUUGGUGAUGGAAAUAAUUAGUGGUAGAUUAAAUUAACUAAUUUACUUAACUGAAAAGUAACUAAGUAUGAUAAAAUUGAAUGAAAAGACGUAAAAACAAAGCAAUAAGCAACAAUUCACAAGGUUUAAUUUCAAUGACAUAAAAUAGUUAGAUUAAUUGUGUUCUUUAACUUAGAAUAUUAAAACAAUGUUAAUGAUGUUACAAAAAAAUCCAUGGCAACUCGGCUAUUUAUUAACCCUGAUUUUCAAAGUUUCGAUUUCUCUCGAAGACCUAAGGUUAACCUCUUAGUCUCUUCACAUAUGUCUAUGUCGAGUCUAACUUCAAGAUUACGUUUCUAGGCAUCGUUCUUAAGAAAUCACACUGGUUAAAUUAUUAAGUUUUUCUAGCAUAUGUCUAUGCUCAAUCAACUUUGUAAUUUUCAUAAGCAAACAGCAGAUUAUGUGAGGUAAUUGUAAUAUUUCUAUACUGAAAUAGUUUAAUCACAUAAAUCCAAAGGUUAUGCAAGGCGAUAAAUUUCUUUCGAUAUUAUUACUAAUUUGACCUAAUUUAUCAUAAACAAAUCUGACAUGCACCAUUCAUAUAUUGUGUCAAUUAAUUACAAUCUAGUUUUGAUUUAAUAAUUAUUUCAAUUGCACCCUACAUUAUAAUGCACAAAUAACAUGUUCAUGAUUUUAUCUGAAUGAGUAACCAACCAAGGCAAAUAUAAUCAUUAACAGAAUUUUAUUAAUCUAAGCUAAAAAAAAUGCAAUCAAUCUAACAUAAAUAGAAUUAAGCCAUUAUAAUUAAAUCAAAAGAAAAAAUAUAUUUAGCAAUUGUGUUCAUAAAUUUAGAACAAAAUAAAAAGAAAUUAACGAAAGGAAUUAGAAGACAAAAUCCGAUGUUUCUUUGUUGCACAACUUUUUUUCUUUUCCUCCUUCCUUCUGCUUUGCUCCUUCACACAACUUCCUUAAAGAUGCCGAAUUUUUUCUGCUCACAAAAUCUUUUGAAAUGCUCCUUACAACUCUUGUGUUGCUCUCUCAAAUGAGAAAUGAGAGAAGAGAUGGU
rnacentral:lncRNA from 1 species